AAAACACUUGAACAUGUGAGUUCGUUGACCCAGCAGCAGAAACUGAAGCUUAAAGAUCCUAAAAGACAGAAGACGACACAGGAUGAUCACAGAGAUGAACAAGAAGGUAAGUGUACUGGAACUUUGGAACUGGAAUACUGUACAUGGCACAGGAAGUAAGGCAAAACCAGAGGGAGAACACCCAAAAAUCUAGCAGGAACAGAAGACUGCAGUGAAGACCUGGUGGAGCAUCACCCAGUAUUUGGAGAUGUCUGUGGCUUCCAGACAGCAAAGGAUUUGCAAUAUGACAAUUUAAUUAAAUUUAUAAUCGUUAGUUUGUCCAUGUAAUGUUACUUUGUUUGGUGGCUAUUUAUAAAAAUGGUUGUAAUUCCCACAACAUGUACUAUCACACCUGUCCAGCAGGUGGUGCCAAAGCAUUAGCACUAUGAGGGAAACAUCCACACCUUCCUUUGAACCCUGGGCUCAUCAGCUAAUGUGGUUCAGCUGAGUCUCAUCUCACUGGCUUUGUAAGUCACCAGAAUCCUAGGAACUCUGUUUAGUCAUGCAGUCUCCUGUGUGCUGGAGCAUUUGUAAGAUUCCUGCUAUGCUCUCUGUAAGUUUGUCUGUUUUCCCUGUGGAAUUGUGUUUGCCUUUCCAGGACACUGUACUUUGUUUCUUUAUGUUUUUAUAUGCUUAGGGUUUUGUUCUGUCACCGCUUGAGGAAGUAAAACCACUUCAGACAUCAGUACCGCCACUGUGUAUUGGUCUAUAUUAUACAUAUAUAUAUCUAUAUAAUACAGCAACAUGGAGACACUUUGUCUUUUCUUUCUGUUAUUAUGCUUAUAAACUGUGAACAUGAAUUCCACCUUUGAUUAGACAGUCAAGCUCAGCACUCACGUUUAAAGAACAUUGGAAAAUGAAUCUGUUUAACUAGUGCUCAAUUAAAAUUCUAUGUCUCUUUGGUGUUUAUCAUUUUAAUAUGAUGAGUUAUGCUUUAUAUGAUUUUCAAUGAAUACUCAUAGUAUCUAUUACUGUCUUAUCACCCAGCACUUUGAGGUGCCACUGUAUAUGCCACUACAA